rnacentral:lncRNA from 1 species
AACAAGAAUAGGGCCGGAUUAGGAUUUCAAUUGGGGUCUAUCAAUGUCAAAUUUGAAGAUGUUCAACCGAGUUUCCGCAGUGGAUUGUUCAUUCAUGGUAAUGAUCAACACAUAGCUGUUGUGAUCGAGGAUGAGGAUAAUAAAGACGAAGCUUGCGCCAACUUUGUGACGCACGGCCGGACUUGCAACAAUUGGGUCUAUCGAUGUUCCUACUAUUACUCA